rnacentral:rRNA from 1 species
UAUUGGACAAUGGGCGAAAGCCUGAUCCAGCAAUACCGCGUGUGUGAAGAAGGCCUUAGGGUUGUAAAGCACUUUCAAUUGGGAGGAAAACCUACCGGUCAAUACCCGGUAGCUUGACAUUACCUUUAGAAGAAGCACCGGCUAACUCCGUGCCAGCAGCCGCGGUAAUACGGAGGGUGCGAGCGUUAAUCGGAAUUACUGGGCGUAAAACGUGCGUAGGCGGUUCGUUAAGUCAGAUGUGAAAGCCCUGGGCUCAACCUGGGAACGGCAUUUGAAACUGGCGGACUAGAGCUUAGUAGAGGGGAGUGGAAUUUCAGGUGUAGCGGUGAAAUGCGUAGAUAUCUGAAGGAACACCAGUGGCGAAGGCGACUCCCUGGACUAGAACUGACGCUGAGGUACGAUG